rnacentral:lncRNA from 1 species
UUCAUAAAUAGAGUACUUAAUGGUUGGAUUAUCAACAAACUUCCCUAUUAGAAUCUAUUGAGAUGGGCAUUUGUAUUGUUUAAGAAAUGACAGUUUCUCAGCAUCAAAUUAUCAAUCUCUAGCGAGAAGUACUGCUGCUACUAUCUACAUCUAUAUGAAGCUUUGGAGAUUGAGAAACGUCCUCGAUGGAGGCCAAAUUGGAGCACUCUAUAGACUCUGGAAUACGGAGCCACAAAAAGAAUUUCAGUGCUGUGUAUUAAUUAAUUGAAAUUGGACUUGAAUUCUGCGUCUAGCCAGUAGUUGUCCCGUGUCCGAGUCACUGAUUUUGUAGCCAGGCCUGUCUAUUGCAAUGGUUGCUGUAUCUGAGACUUCUUUCUCAGGGCCAUCCAUGUAUGUACCUGCAUUAGAAAAGAAACUUGUUUCGAUUUUUCAGAUCAAUUAAAAUUCAUUUUUCUGAACAGGAAGCUUGCCUUGAAUCACGGUUUAUUUCGUACUUCUUUCCCUGCUCGGUCGGUAAACCUACCUAGCUAUUCUUUUCUGCAUUCGACUGGUUAAAUAAGGGCUUCAAUUAGCAUGUAAGAUGUUAACUUUUGCGGGCAAAGUAAGUAGAUGAAGCUUUGCAAACCUUAAUUUGACGUAUAUAGGAAACUUUGUACGGCUCAAGAGUUCAAAUGCUUGAUAAGCAUGCGGCACAAAC